UCUCCGUUGGUGAACCAGCGGAGGGAUCAUUACUGAGUGAGGGGCUCCGGCCCCAGACCUCCAACCCAUUGUUAUCCGACACUGUUGCCUCGGGGGCGACCCGGCCUUCGGGCGUCUUGGGGCCCCCGGUGGACCACUCCAAACACUGCAUCUCUAGCGUCUGAGUCAGAUAUUGAAUCAAUCAAAACUUUCAACAACGGAUCUCUUGGUUCUGGCAUCGAUGAAGAACGCAGC
rnacentral:misc_RNA from 1 species